UAAUGACUCACUAAAUUAAGCUCCUACCCACGAAUUGGUCCCCGCCCACCCUUUGGAACCUCUGCUGUAGCCAGUGGGGAUCACGGAGGGUUCCCAGCAGGGGAGCAACCCGAUCAGAAGGGGCAUUAGGUCAGUGCUGACCAAAUGUUCUCAGGCGAAGGACCGAUUCUGUAAAUUUCCAAACUGUCAUGUACUUUACUUUUUUUUUUUUAAAGAUUUUAUUUUUUCCUUUUUCUCCCCAAAGCCCCCCAGUACAUAGUUGUACAUUCUUCGUUGUGGGUCCUUCUAGUUGUGGCAUGUGGGAUGCCGCCUCAGCGUGGUCUGAUGAGCAGUGCCAUGUCCGCGCCCAGGAUUCGAACCAACGAAACACUGGGCCGCCUGCAGUGGAGCGCGCGAACUUAACCACUCGGCCACGGGGCCAGCCCCCGUGUACUCUACUUUUUAAAAAUACAAUAAGAAUGAAUUAUUAGAAAACGAAAUAGCCAAGACAGAAGAAAAGGCAAGCCUGAUUCGUUACUAUUAGCUUCGGCAGACACUGAGGAGGGGCUCCAUGAACGCGCUGUUAGGUGGACACCAGCUUGGGGUUAGAGGCGUGAGGCGCUUGCCAGUCCUUUUGAUGCCCUCAAGCCCUUGACAUGUGGCCACACCUGCCCUGCCAAUCUGUUCUGUAGCCGUUCCAAUUUGCAUAGUCUGCAGGGCUUUGCUAAGGAGAGAGGCGCUGUGCAGGCUCCUGCCCUGUCAACACAGCCCAGCUGCCUGAGUUCGCAUCCUGCUUCUGCCACUAACUGGCUGUGGGCCGUGGAUAAAGGGCUUCACCUCUCCAAACCUCGGUUUCCUCCUCGGACUGUCCUGGGAGAUUAAGAAAGCAAUCCACACUGCGGGGCUUGACUCAGGGCCAGAACCGGGUUUACACCUCACCUUCCAGCUCUCACAGCUGUGAUUCUGUUGUUGUUUUCUGUCUUUCUGAGUCAGGCUCAUCCUCUCGGGUCCCUUCUCUUUGCCCCUCACUGGCCACGUAGGCCAAGCCUUCUCCCUGCCUCAGCUCUUCGCUUCUUCUCUCCCUCGCGCGUCAGAAGAUGGCUUACAUCCUACUUGGCAGAGAAAACGGCGAGCUUCCUCCCCCAGCUUCCUUCUCCUCCAGGUUCUCCUCACUCCUACAUCCUUCCUCCGGGCUGACCCUCCACCUGAGCCCCACUUACCUGCCUCUCUUCGCUCCAUUGCUAGGAGCUUCUUUCCAUCAGUGAUUCCCUCCCUCUUCUGGGAAUCCUUCCAAAGUCACAUCUCUGGUCACUCCUCAGCCUAAGGCAGUCUGCCCUGUGGUGUGCUGCUAAAUGUCUAACAACAGGCCCUCUGGAGAGAAAAUGUAUGCAUAUAUACGCAGAUAUGAGUUUAUUAUAAAUUUUAUUGACAUAAAGAAUGUUUAGCAAUUUACAAAUAAUAAAAUAUACAAUAUUCUUCAUUGUAAUUGCAUAUAGCAAAUUGAAUCUUACAGAAAACUUUCACUGAUUUUUACCAACCUGCUAAAUCCAUAACCAACCUAUAAUUGUAACUGACAAAUGAGUGCACUUUUGACACAAAUGUUGGCUGAUAUUUUCGUUUGUGCCAACUACUAAGAAAAAAGUGAAACAAUGAAGAUGCAUGUGGGAACUGCACUCAUUUGUCAAUGGUGUAAGCAACUUCUUUACUGAAUCAGAUAUAGUUUUUGAAUACUGAAAGAACAUUUGCUCAAUUUUUCUGUGCUAUUCACAAUGUAAUGGCUACAGGCACAACAUACAUUUAAGUUUAAAGUGCAUUAUUAACAUUUUCUCCAUAACUUUCCUAAGUGUAGACAGUCAACAAAACAAUAACUCAAGCCCUGAUUUCUGGUGUUUGCCAGUUUCCACGGUGUAAAUGUUCCCACUGUGGCCAAUUUCAAGGUACCAAAGUGAUGUCACUGAAUGCAUACUUGGGAAGAACAGGGCAGCUGCAUAACGUUAUAUAGUAUUUGCACAGACACAAUAGAUGUAAAUAACCUUAAAAGCAUAAACAAUAAAUGAUGAGGAUUUUAGGCUGGUUACUUUUAAAACUGUAGAUGAGAAGCAGGCUCUGAGGACUGGAAUUUGCUUGCUCUUCCAGAGAUAUGUGCACUUGUGAAGGAAGUGGGGAUGACCUUGUAGGGACCUGAAAUUGGCCACCCCAGGAUAUGUCUCUUUGGAAUCGGGAUUGUUUGGGGCUGAUUGUUUUGGGACAGGGAAGGAGGCUCUGAGGAACGGAACUUGCCCUUGUUGGGACACAUUUACAUUUGUAAGGUAAAUCUCUAUCUGUAAAAGGUGCCUCCCUCUCUGUACCAGGAAGGAGAAGAGAGAUGACCUUGUCCCUAGAAACUCUUAAUGGGGAAGGCAAGAACUUAAGUUGGUUGCUGUCUGGCAAUCUCAUGCAACUGAUUUAGGGUGGUGGCUUCUAACCUUUCUAACCUUUACUUAAUCCGAUUUGAUUCUUGUCUAAAAGUCAUGGGAUCACCCAAUGACCAGACCCCACCUGCACUGAUACCAUUUUAACUUUUUUUCAUGUUCUUUCCUUUGUCUUGUAAAGAGAUGACUCACAUACCCAUGCCUUAUAAAAUUAGCCCUAACCCUCAACUCUGCCCGUGGGUCCUGUCCCCACGCACCAGCUCUGCCUGCCCAUGGGUCCUGUCCCCAUGCCAGCAGGGGCAGCAGAGGCAGCAGCAGCAGCAGCUGUGACUGCCCGUGGGUCCUGUCCCUACACACCAGCUCUGGCUGCCCAUGGGUCCUGUCCCCAUGCCAGCAGGGGCAGCAGAGGCAGCAGCAGCAGCAGCUGUGACUGCCCAUGGGUCCUGUCCCCACACACCAGCUCUGGCUGCCCAUGGGUCCUGUCCCCAUGCCCGCGGCAGCAGCUCUGACUGCCCAUGGGCCCUGUCCCCAUGCUAUUCCACACUAUUCUCUAAAUAAAAGAGCACUACUGCCAGAUCUUGAGAGUCCAAGAAAUCUUUCUUUUGACUCCUCGGCUCACCGAUCCCGCAUCAAUAAAAUACUGUAAAAUUCUUAGGAAGUGAUGAGUUUUGAGUAUUUAUCUUUGUGUGUGUUUUUUGGUUUUUUUGAGGAAGAUUAGCCCUGAGCUAACAUCUGCUGCCAAUCUUCCUCUUGCUGAGGAAGACUGGCCCUGGGCUAACAUGCCUGCCCAUCUUCCUCUACUUUAUACGUGGGACACCUACCACAGCAUGGCUUGACAAGUGGUGCCAUAUCCGCACCUGGGAUCUGAACUGGCAAACCCUGGGUCGCCGAAGCGGAAGGUGCAAAAUUAACCACUGUGCCACCGGGCCGGCCCCUCUUUGUUUUUAAUAUAACUUAUUUAAUUGUAAUUUUAUAUAAUUUUUUUUUUAAAGAUUGGCACCUGAGCUAACAACUGUCGCCAAGGCAGGGACUGGAGAGUGGGGAUUCUGGAAUCGCUUUGGAACAGAAGUGGAACAGUUCUGCGUGAUGACAAUGCUCGAUGGCUGAGGAGGAAACAUGGCAGUGUGAUGCAGACUUCGCCUCCUACCAUCCACCUGGACGCCUACUACAGCAUGGCGUGCCAACCGGUGCCAUGUCUGCAGCUGGGACGCAA
ensembl:lncRNA